rnacentral:rRNA from 1 species
UGCGUAGGUGGCGCGCUAAGUCAGGUGUGAAAUUUCGGAGCUUAACUCCGAAACUGCAUUUGAUACUGGUGUGCUUGAGGACUGGAGAGGAGACUGGAAUUUACGGUGUAGCAGUGAAAUGCGUAGAGAUCGUAAGGAAGACCAGUGGCGAAGGCGGGUCUCUGGACAGUUCCUGACACUGAGGACAAGGCCAGGGGAGCGAAACG